AGUGAACGCUGGCGGUAGGCCUAACACAUGCAAGUCGAACGGCAGCACAGUAAGAGCUUGCUCUUACGGGUGGCGAGUGGCGGACGGGUGAGGAAUACAUCGGAAUCUACUUUUUCGUGGGGGAUAACGUAGGGAAACUUACGCUAAUACCGCAUACGACCUACGGGUGAAAGCAGGGGAUCUUCGGACCUUGCGCGAUUGAAUGAGCCGAUGUCGGAUUAGCUAGUUGGCGGGGUAAAGGCCCACCAAGGCGACGAUCCGUAGCUGGUCUGAGAGGAUGGUCGGACAGAUUGGGAGUGAGACAUGGCACAAAAUCGUACGGGAGGCAGCAGUAGGGAAUCUUGGGCAAUGGAGGCAAGUGUGUACGAGAAACGCCGCGUGAGUGAAGAAGGUUUGCGGAUCGUAAAAAUGUGUUGGGAGAGAAGAACGUUGGUGAGAGGGGAAAGCUCAUCAAGUGACGGUAACUACGAAGAAAGGGACGGCUAACUACGUG
rnacentral:rRNA from 1 species